rnacentral:rRNA from 1 species
AUGGCUCUCCUCCUCAAGCGCAACCACCACCUCUCCACCACCUCCCGCCUCCUUCUCCGCCGCCUAUGCACCACCGAGGCCACCACAGAGCCGGCGCCCGCCUCGCCUCCGCCACCGGCUCCCGACUCGCCUCCCCCCAUGACGCCCUCGGAAGCCAAGCUCCUGGACUCGCUCCACGCGGCGAUCCUCGACCACAGCCGCGCCCACCCGUCGACUACGCUCCCGGCCUCGCCGCCAUUCGAGCCCCUCGCCGCGUUCUCUUCCACCCUCGACGGCCUCCUCCCUUCCCCGCCCGCUCCGCACCUCGCGCUCCAGCUCCUCGGCCGCCUCCUCGCGCUCCGCCGCGGCGUCCCGUUCCCGGAGGCCCUCACGUUCUUCCACCACGUCCUCCCGUCGCUUCCCGCCGACUCGCUCCCGGCGCUCUACGCCGCUAUGAUCGACCUGCUCGCGAAGCACCACCACUUCCCGCUCGCCCGACACCUGCUCGACGAAAUGCGCGAGCGCUCCAUCCCCGUCUCGUCGCAGGUCAUCCUCGCCAUAAUCCGCCGGUACGUCCGGGCGGGGAUGUCUGCCGAGGCUUCCGAGCUGUUCCGUCGCAUGGAGGAGUAUGGCGCCGGGGUCCCCGACCCUGCGGUGCUCGCCUCUCUCCUUGGAGCGCUGUCCAAGAAGCGCCUCGCCAGUGAGGCCCAGGCUCUGUUCGACAGCUACAAGUCGGUAUUUCCUCCUGAUGUAGUGCUCUACACGACCCUGGUGCAUGCCUGGUGUCGGGCCGGGUGUCUCGACAAAGCAGAGCAGGUGUUCGCUGAGAUGCAGCAGGCGGGGAUCAUGCCGAACGUGUACACCUACACUUCUGUGAUUGAUGCCAUGUACCGCGCGGGGCAGGUGCCCCGUGCGCAGGAGCUCCUCUGCCAGAUGAUUGACACCGGGUGUCCGCCAAACACUGCGACCUUCAACGCCAUCAUGCGGGCUCAUGUCAAGGCCGGGCGUUCUGAGCAGGUGCUGCAGGUGCACAACCAGAUGCGGCAGCUUGGUUGUGAUCCGGACAUUAUCACAUACAAUUUCUUGAUGGAGACACAUUGCGGGAAAGGGCAGAGCAACCUUGACGCAGCGAUGAAAGUGCUUGCCAAGAUGAUUGCCAAGGGGUGUAUUCCUGACUGCCACACGUUCAAUCCCAUGCUGAAGCUGGUCCUGGGGACCGGCAAUGUAGAGGCUGCACGAAAGUUGUAUGAACGGAUGCAGGAGCUGCAGUGCAAGCCGAAUGUGGUGACUUAUAAUCUGCUUAUGAAGUUGUUCAAUAAGGAGAAGUCGAUGGACAUGGUGCUGAGGAUAAAGAAGGACAUGGAUGCACAAGGUGUGGAGCCAAACGUGAACACCUACGGAGCUUUAAUCGAGUCAUUCUGUGGGAGGGGAAACUGGAGGCGCGCUCAUGCGACGCUGAGGGAAAUGGUUGAGGAGAAAUCUUUGAAACCCACGAAGCCAGUGUAUGAUAUGGUGCUGAUGCUGCUGAGGAAGGCCGGUCAGCUCAGGAAGCACGAAGAGCUUGUGGAAGCAAUGGCUGACAGGGGCUUCAUCAAGCGCCCAUCAGAGGAUGCGUUGUGGAAUGCAGUAGCUGCUUCCUAA